GAUGAACGCUAGCGGCAGGCUUAACACAUGCAAGUCGAGGGGUAUAGGAAGCUUGCUUCCUAGAGACCGGCGCACGGGUGCGUAACGCGUAUGCAACCUACCUUUUACAGGGGAAUAGCCCAGAGAAAUUUGGAUUAAUGCCCCAUGGUAUAAUUGAAUGGCAUCGUUUAAUUAUUAAAGUUCCAACGGUAAAAGAUGGGCAUGCGUCCUAUUAGCUAGAUGGUAAGGUAACGGCUUACCAUGGCGACGAUAGGUAGGGGUCCUGAGAGGGAGAUCCCCCACACUGGUACUGGGACACGGACCAGACUCCUACGGGAGGCAGCAGUGAGGAAUAUUGGACAAUGGGCGCAAGCCUGAUCCAGCCAUGCCGCGUGCAGGAAGAAGCAUCUAUGGUGUGUAAACUGCUUUUGUACAGGAAGAAACAUCCCGACGUGUCGGGACUUGACGGUACUGUAAGAAUAAGGAUCGGCUAACUCCGUGUCAGCCGCCGCGGUAAGAC
rnacentral:rRNA from 1 species